rnacentral:rRNA from 1 species
CUCGCGCGAGGCAUGUGCACGCUUCUCGUUUUUCUCUCAACUCACCUGUGCACCUAAUGUAGGAUGCCUCUCCUCCGGGAGGGGGGACCUAUGUCUUCGUAUCAUCUUCGUGUAGAAAGUCUUUGAAUGUUUACUAUCAUCGAGUCGCGACUUCUAGGAGACGCGAUUCUUUGAGAUAAAAGUUAUUACAACUUUCAGCAACGGAUCUCUUGGCUCUCGCAUCGAUGAAGAACGCAGCGAAAAGCGAUAUGUAAUGUGAAUUGCAGAUCUACAGUGAAUCAUSGAAUCUUUGAACGCACCUUGCGCUCCUCGGUGUUCCGAGGAGCAUGCCUGUUUGAGUGUCAGUAAAUUCUCAACCCCUCUCGAUUAGCUUCGAGAGGGCGCUUGGAUAGUGGAGGUUGCCGGAGACUUGGAUUCGUCCGAGACUCGGGCUCUUCUGAAAUGCAUCGGCUUGCGGUCGACUUUCGACUAUGUGCGACAAGGCUUUCGGCGUGAUAAUGAUCGC